rnacentral:rRNA from 1 species
CAUGCCGUAAACGAUGGAUACUUGGUGUUGGAGGUAUUGACCCCUUCAGUGCCGAAGCUAACGCGUUAAGUAUCCCGCCUGGGAAGUACGGUCGCAAGAUUAAAACUCAAAGAAAUUGACGGGGGCCCGCACAAGCGGUGGAGCAUGUGGUUUAAUUCGAUGCAACGCGAAAAACCUUACCUGGGUUUGACAUACAGUGGAAGACUGCAGAGAUGUAGUCGCCUUCGGGCCGCUGAACAGGUGC